CAGAGAUUUAAAUUGUUGUUGGAAAUAUUCCAAAAGGAAUACUAAUAUUAAUCAUUUUAUAGCAAUUGGAAAAUACUGAAAAAGUUUUGCUAAAGCUAACAAAACUUACUAUACACUCCAACAGAUACUUGUAAAUUUCCAUGUCACCAAGGCGGUACCCUCAAAGGCACAUCUUUUAUGCCUGCAAUAUGUAUCUUUCAUCUCAAAAGAUGGAGAUAGUGUACCUAUAGUGUACCUUUAAAAAUGAUUUAAGGUCCAUACGUACCCUUUCUUUCUGAUGCAUGAUCAGUUCCACACUCUCACCACUCUCGGGUUUAAUCGAUUAAUUCGGUUCGCUUCAACAGGCUGUAUUGGCAUGAUCAUAUACAUGUACGGUAUUGCCAACGCAUUACGGGAAUGUCGAACUGUUAAUAAUAAACAUUAGUUUAUUGAUUUUAUAAAGCACAUUUAAAACAACGGAUGUUGAAACCGAAGUGCUGUACGAGAAAUAUAAAACCGAAUUAAAAGAGUAAACAAAAACCAAAGAAAAGACCAAUGAAAAAUUGACAUCCUCGAUUAAAACAUAAAGAAUACGAGUGAGUUUUCAAACGGGAUUUAAACACGGAAACGGAAGGGGAAGAUCUAAUGUGGAGAGGAAGACUAUUCCAAAGCCUAGGAGCAGCCACCGAGAAAGCCCGGUCACUUUUAGCCUUAAAACAUGAACGAGGAACUGAGAGUGGUAGUAGUGUGUUAGUAGCAUUAGUGUUGUUUUCGUAGAAGAUUGUUAUCAGAAUCUGAAUAAACAUAUUGUAUUAGUGUCCAUUUGUUGUAGUGGGUGGGUUACUCACUGUCCCUCAGGUUGUGGCAGGCACACAGGCUAAAAUGCACCUCUCCUUUAUUUCUCCUAACGGUACGGGCAGUUUGUCAGUGUUUGGCGGAAGGAUGAACUGGGGAUGUGUGAUGUGAUGUUUUUUUAAAAUAUAAUUCACGCAAGUGUUUGAAGUUGUUACACUCGGUUAGAAAGUGCAGCUCUGUCUCCACUGUGUUGCUGUUGCACUGUGUGCGCACUCUGCUCUUUAGGGAGCCGCGAUUACUUCUAGCGGCCGUCUCGACGGCCAGUGUGUGUGCCGAGUCUGGACUGUGUCAGCGUGGUUCUGCGUCGGUGUGCGGUCACUGUGCUCAGGUAGUCCGCUACAGUGUACUGUGCGUUUCGGGCCAGACAGCACUGCAUUUUACUUUGUGCUUGUGUGUUCGUAGGGGUGGAUGUAGUUUUGUUUCUGUAGUGUUAUAAUUUGGUGAGGUCUGAUGGGUCUGAUUUGUUCUUGUGUCCGGCUGCUCCUGGGGUAGAACCGUGUUAGCGUGUGUUAAUGAGCUGAGGUUCAGGACUAGCCGGGCGAGGAGAAUCGUCUUUGUGAGCGGCCCCCAGACCUCACUACCGUACAGCAGAAUCGAUUUGAAUUGGGAUUUGGGAAUGAAUUUGUUGUGUAGAAUUUUACUUGCGCCUGCUCUGUCAGCUCAUUCGCCGCUGGACUGAAAUUUCCAGUGGUAUUAAUUUUCAAUCCGAAGUAUUUGUAUUCUUUGCAAUUUCUAUUCUGUGCGUCCCUAAAGUGAAGUUAAUCACUACUUGUGGCGAAGUCUCUGUGAAGUGAGCUGCUCUAAUGGCUUUGACGUUAAAUAGUACAAUAUCCUUUCCAAACCAAAAGUAGAAUCUGUUAAAGCCUCUAGGGUUAUACAUUACUCCCACAUAUGAUUGGUAGUGUUUUGGCUUCUAGACUGGUGGACAUGCUGGAUGCUGCUGAAAAAUACUUUGAGGAGUCCUGGGAUUGACACCAGCUCUGUGUGUUGGUGCAAAAAGGGUAUUGGAAAGGCCAAAAGUAAACCUGGAGAAGUAUUAACAUUAGCUUCUGAAGUAAGAAAUUUGGUGAGGAGAUAAGUGAUAUGAUUUGAUUAUAUAAUGCAGAUAUUUUAGUUUUUAAGGUGCAUGUACAGGACUCCUGGACAAGGAGACAUCUGCUUGAGCUUCCAGACAUCUGUAGAAAACCUCCCAUCUGCUGGUAUAUGCACCGGACUGUUCAUGUGGACCGAAUAAAAAUGGAAUCUCUGUCAACUACACACCCACACCUCCUGACUCUUCUCUGCACUCAAGAAAUAAUUUACUGUCUGUUUCGUUUUGCACAGGAACCCACAAGCUGUAGGUAGGUAGGUAUGUUCAUGGAGAUCAGUGCAGGAGUGAUGUAGAGCAAGUACAAUUUGUUUUUCUGAAAUGACAUUUUAUGAAUGACUUUUUUGCUUGAAUUUACAUGAUCUAGUUGUUUUUUUGUUUUGUUUUUUUAAAUCUGGUGUUCAAAUGAAUGAAUCUUAACAGUCCUGCUUAAACAUUUGUCCUUAUUUUGUAAUUUCAUGUCUAUUUAGUGAACUGCCAUGUCAUGCAUAAAGCUGCACCUUGUAUUAGAUAUGAAACAUGCGGUAAUUUUUCAUCAGGACAUACAGUAUCUGUUAAGUCCAGAGAGCCAAAGCUUUACUGCACUUGCAAUAAAGGCCAAUGGCAAGAUUGAAAAAAUUUACCAAUAAAAACGAUUUCUGUAAACCAAAUUUGCUGGCAAUUUACACAUCAGAUUAUUUGGUUCCAGUGCUCCUGAUGUGAUCCUGAGCUACUGUCUGUGCAUAGUUUUGCACAUUCUGCUCAUUUCUGUGUGGGUUUGCUCUGGGUUCUCCAGUUUCCUCCAACCUGCCAACAAACACGACUGCAGGUGGAUCGGCUGUGUGUGUGAAUCUUCGUGCAUGGUGUUGUGCGAUGGACUGGCAUCCCAUCCCACCUUCGACCCACUGUGAUCGGCUCGGGAUCCACCGUGACGCUGCCCAGGAUUAAACGUCUACUGAAGAUGAAGGAACAAAUCAUUUGUGUACACGUAAUGAUUUUGGAUUGUAUUAUAUACAGGUCCCAGAGUCUGGAGGAAGAGUGGAGAGGAACAGAAUCCAAGUCCAGUGUGACGUUUCCACAGUCAGUGAUGAUUUGGGUUGCCAUGUGAUCUGCUGGUGUCGGUCCAGUGUGUUUUCUCAAGUCGAGAGUCGAUGCAGCGUCUACCAGGAGAUUUUAGAGCACUUCCACUAUAUUAUAAUUUUUUAAGAUUCACCUGUAGGUAUGAGAUCAGACAGGUGCUGUAUUAAGUCUUCAUUUCCUAAAGACAUUGUAAUGCACCUAUAAGGCAAGAUUAAGCACCUGAUCUCUAUCACAUCUCAGUAGCUUGAAGUCAACACUCCCAUUUCUCAGUGUGGUGGACAAAAGGAAAUUUUAGUCAUGGAGCUACAGCUGCCCUACAUUAACGUUGAUGUUUAAACCUUUUUUUUUUUCUUUUUUUUUUUAAAUACACUAAGUUACCUAUUUUGUAGACAGACAUGAUUUGAUAGAACAGCAUGUUGCAGCAACCAGA
ensembl:lncRNA